UCUGGUUGAUCCUGCCAGUAGUCAUAUGCUUGUCUCAAAGACUAAGCCAUGCAUGUCUAAGUAUAAAUAACUACAUAGUAAAACUGCGAAUGGCUCAUUAAAACAGUUAUAGUUUAUUUGAUACAUUAAAUGGAUAACUGUAGAAAAACUAGAGCUAAUACAUGCCGAAACUGCAAAGUUGUAUUUAUUAGAUAUUGUAAUUAAGAUGAAUCAUAAUAACUCUACAAAUCUCGAUUCUAUCGAGAUAAAUCAUCCAAGUUACUGCCCUAACAGCUUUCGAUGGUAGUGUAUUGGACUACCAUGGCUCUCACGGGUAACAGGGAAUUAGGGUUCGAUUCUGGAGAAGGAGCCUGAGAAACGGCUACUACAUCUACGGAAGGCAGCAGGCGCGUAAAUUACCCAAUCCUGACUCAGGGAGGUGGUGACAAGAUAUAACGACCCGAUUAACGUCGUGAUUGUAGUGAGGAUAUUCCAAAAAGAAUCACAAGAACGAUUAGAGGGCAAGUCUGGUGCCAGCAGCCGCGGUAAUUCCAGCUCUAAUAGCGUAUAUUAAAGUUGCUGCA
rnacentral:rRNA from 1 species